UUUAUAUAUGAAAGGAAAGGAGAAAUAGACAGGCGAAAAUGUUGUUUAGGUGCAGUGGCAUUCCACAGGUAAAAUUGACGGGCUGCCUACGGCUACAUGUAGUGUGCGUGCGUUCACUAGUGAAUGUUAGAAUGAUGAUGAAUUAUUUUAUGCGCAUACAUGAACUUUUCUAGAGGAAUCCUGAAUAAUAAUAUGUAUUUGAGAUACAUAUCAGAGUUUACUUAGGGGUUGUUCAAAGAGUAAGAAAAAGGGCAAUAGUUGUCAUUAGAUGACCUUUGGAAUACGAAUAAUGAGAAUGUUAAUGGAAGUCGUAUAAGUGAAUUCAUACGCCAUACUUCAUUUCUUUUAAUAUAACAUAAUUUUAGUUAAUUUUUGAAAUCAGCUUGGAAUUUCUUAAAACCACUACGCCUUCAAAUUUUAAUAUAGAGAGCAGUGUAGAUUACUAUAGGAAGACAGGAGUAUCAACUAAAAUAUCGCACUUAAGAAAGGCCUAGCAAAUUAUAACACUGGUGAAUAUCGUAUCCAUAAAUAGAACCGCAAAAUAGCGCAGCAACUACGGGUCACGGAUUUACAAUAGACAUUAUUUCAGUGCAUAUAACGGGCAAGAAGGCAUUUAGAAUUCAAAUUAUGUCUUGAAGACACGGAAAGCGCAAAAAUUUUUUAGAAAUAGCUAGCCAAAAGCUAUUAUGAAAUGAAAUGAAAUGCAUCAGAAGGAAAUUGGUCAAUAUCAACGAAAACUAAACGAAAUUAAAGAAGAAACUGAAUAUGGAGCUUGAACAACACACAAAUAAGAUUAACACAAAUAAUUAAAAAACUGCAAGAUAAAGUUCACACGAAUACGAAGAUCAAACAAAUAAAAAGAAAAAAGAAAUGAAAACAUGGAUACAUCUGUAAACAUUUCAAAUAUCACAACAACCAAUUUAAGCUUUAACACAUUCAAUCCAACAAUUCUUUCCAAAAAUUACUAUUUAAAAAAUACUAUUUACAGAUUUGCAUCGAAGCGUUUUUUAUGAUAAUGGUUUUAAACACAUUCAAAUAUAAUCAAUAUUUGUCUUAAUUACGCCAAGUCCAUAUUGUGGUGUGACCCCAUGUACUGUUUUUUUUUUUAAAUUACACAUAAUACACAUCGAAGCGUUUAAUGAUAGUGAUUUUAAUAACUGACAGAUAUUAAUCAAUAUAAAUCUAUAGAAAUACAUCAUCUUUACAACACUGGAUUCCAACUGUACAAAACUAUUUUUAAUAUUUUCAAUUUUAUAC